GUUUUUUUGUUUUUAUUUAUUUUGUUUGUUUUCAACAGUAUAUUCUAUUCAGGCAUGGGCUUAAUACAAAUGUAAAAAACUAGGCCAAGUGGAAAUAUGUUUAGGAAGGAGUUUUCCUUCAAAUGAUUUUUUCAGCAAGUCUUAUUGCAUGUGAUAUGAUACUUUAGAACAAGGUGAAGGUUAGUGUUAUAGUUAAAAUUAAAAAUAUGAAACACAUUUUUUUUAUGACAAAUUAGUCAAAACUAUGUUUGCUUUUCAGAAUCUUUUGUCCAAAAUACAUGUUGUUGCAGUAAACAAAUAUUCUGAUAAACUGUUAAGUUAAUGGUUAAGAAGAAAAACAUUUGAAUCAGAUUAUAUAUUUUAAUAGUACAAGUUUGACUACAAGUAAAUUUAGCAUGACAUUUCCGUGAUUGUUCUAAAUAGAAUGCUUGCAAUGAGUGGAAAGAUAGUGUGACUAAUGAAAAAAAACAAUUUUGAGUAUUAUUUUGAGGUGAUAUAACAGCAGCACCAACCAAUGGGGUGUAAGAUAACAUAACAGCAGCACCAACCAAUGGGGUGUAAGAUAACUGAUACAUUAGCUCAAACAUGGGACUUUGUUCUAGACUUGACUUUGAUUUGAACCUUGCAGACAAUGUGAGAUGAAUUUACUCCACACUUUGAAUGAGAGUUUGAUUCUUACAGUGGACAAUCAAUAAUAGUUAAAUAAUGUGAUCUUGAUGGAGGAAGUGAUACAUGAUAAUUGAUCUAGUAACACAGUUAAAUGAUAAUGUUUUAUUCUGUACAUAUUUGUUCUAAAGGUAGAUAAUUACUAGUUCAUUUACCCAGCUAAGGCUGGGCUCAACUAAAAAGAACAAAUCAUUUGAUCAUACAUAAAAGUGAUUCUCAAAAAGUGAUAUCUUUAAGAAAAAAAAAGCUUACUUUGUAGUUAAAAAUAAAAUGACCAAGCUCUUAUGUUAAUGUGCCACUCAGACACAACUUUUAAAACAAUCUAGAAAGAACUAUCAUUUGGCAAGUAAACACAAACACUAUUAAAACUUAAAAAACAGCAGCAAAACAAAAUAAAACUGAUGAAAACUCAAUGCGGAGAGAGCAAGCA